GACGAACCGUACGAACGUUUAUUCGGAAUUACUGGGCUUAAAGGGUGCGUAGGCUGCGCGGAAAGUUGGGUGUGAAAUCCCUCGGCUCACCGAGGAACUGCGCUCAAAACUACCGUGCUCGAGGGAGACAGAGGUGAGCGGAACUUAGGGUGGAGCGGUGAAAUGCGUUGAUAUCCUAAGGAACACCCGUGGCGAAAGCGGCUCACUGGGUCUCUUCUGACGCUGAGGCACGAAAGCUAGGGUAG
rnacentral:rRNA from 1 species